AUGCCGCGUGUGUGAAGAAGGCCUUCGGGUUGUAAAGCACUUUCAGUUGUGAGGAAAAGUUAGUAGUUAAUACCUGCUAGCCGUGACGUUAACAACAGAAGAAGCACCGGCUAACUCCGUGCCAGCAGCCGCGGUAAUACGGAGGGUGCGAGCGUUAAUCGGAAUUACUGGGCGUAAAGCGCACGCAGGCGGUUUGUUAAGCUAGAUGUGAAAGCCCCGGGCUCAACCUGGGAUGGUCAUUUAGAACUGGCAGACUAGAGUCUUGGAGAGGGGAGUGGAAUUCCAGGUGUAGCGGUGAAAUGCGUAGAUAUCUGGAGGAACAUCAGUGGCGAAGGCGACUCCCUGGCCAAAGACUGACGCUCAUGUGCGAAAGUGUGGGUAGCGAACAGGAUUAGAUACCCUGGUAGUCCACACCGUAAACGCUGUCUACUAGCUGUGUGUGCCUUUAAGGCGUGCGUAGCGAAGCUAACGCGCUAAGUAGACCGCCUGGGGAGUACGGCCGCAAGGUUAAAACUCAAAUGAAUUGACGGGGGCCCGCACAAGCGGUGGAGCAUGUGGUUUAAUUCGAUGCAACGCGAAGAACCUUACCUACACUUGACAUGCUGAGAAGUUACUAGAGAUAGUUUCGUGCCUUCGGGAACUCAGACACAGGUGCUGCAUGGCUGUCGUCAGCUCGUGUCGUGAGAUGUUGGGUUAAGUCCCGCAACGAGCGCAACCCUUGUCCUUAGUUGCCAGCCUUAAGUUGGGCACUCUAAGGAGACUGCCGGUGACAAACCGGAGGAAGGUGGGG
rnacentral:rRNA from 1 species